CGACCUUCGGGAGCUUGUACAGGUGCUGCAUGGCUGUCGUCAGCUCGUGUCGUGAGAUGUUCGGUUAAGUCCGCUAACGAGCGCAACCCUCGCUGUGUGUUACAAGUGUCACACGGGAACUGCCGGUCAUAAACCGGAGGAAGGUGGGGAUGACGUCAAGUCAGCAUGGCCUUUAUAUCCUGGGCUACACACACGCUACAAUGGGAAGGGACAAUAGGUUGCGAAGCCGCGAGGCGGAGCCAAUCCAGCAAAACUUCCCUCAGUUCAGAUUGCAGGCUGCAGCCCGCCUGCAUGAAGUUGGAGUUGCUAGUAAACGCAGGUCAGCCAUACUGCGUUGAAUACGUUCCCGGGGCUU
rnacentral:rRNA from 1 species